CCUUCAGAACUGCUUCCUGUGAGAACCUCAUGCCUUCAGAACUGCUUCCUGUGAGAGCCUCACGCCUUCAGAGCCACUUCCUGUGGCAGCCUCACACCUUCAGAGCCACUUCCUGUGGCAGCCUCAUGCCUUCAGAGCCGCUUCCUGUGAGAGCCUCACGCCUUCAGAACUGCUUCUUGCGUCUAUCUUGUGGUCUUUCGGAGCCUCUUCCUGUGUGUGCCUCCUCCUUCAGAGCUGCUUCUUGUGUGUCCCUCACUUCUCUUUAGAGCCUCUGUCUGCAUGUACCUCAUACCUUACAGUGCUGCAGGUGGAGGCUCCAGGACUUUCUGUUGGAUACUGACCAAGAGACAGUGCACCCAUGGAUCCAAGUUUAUGAGGAAUAACACCCUGAACGAAGCCCUGCCGAGAAGACACUCAGAAAUAUAUCCAAAUUUCUGGGUGGAUUUAUCCAAGUGGCUGGCUUUUCUAGGUUCUCUUCAUGAACAUCAGUCCUUGCCUAGAUCCUUGUGGCAGUGUGGACCAACAAUCCAGGCCACCAAUAAAGCAAUGUAGCACUGAAGAGCAUCAAUUACCUGUCCCUUCUGUUGUCAUCAUGAGACCAUGGGGGAAUACAGACUGGAGGAUGGAGAAGAAAUGCUAUAACCUGUAGUGUCCUCCGUCCUACCCACAGAUGACACAUUCUAAGACUAACAAUGGAUUCCUGGUACCACAGAGAGUGUGCUGAGUCCUAUGCAUGCAUAUGUCCCUGUGUUACAGGUGAUCUUGGGAGGUGUUGGAGUCUGUAUGCAGAGGGAGAUUACCGGAAAAGACAGAGGAGCUCUACGGUGCAGCCUCCAUGGGGUCAGCACCCAUGACUGGGUUGGAACUCUGUGGUUAUACAGCUGCUUUGGGUUUCCCCCACAGCCCUCUGAGUAAGCCCUCCCUUAUGAUCUGUAUGUAAGACAGAUGAAGUCAUUGCCUCUCCAGGUUGGACUUUGGUGGGAUUGUUCCUUUCAUUUGUUAUUGGUGCUCUAUCUGGAGGCCUGUUCAUGACUCCAAAGAUAAGCUAACGUAACACUAAGUGAAUUCCAAAGACUGGUCCUUCAUAGAGAAUGCUGAAAGUCCAUCCAGACCUCAGUAAAGACAGACUUUCCAAAACAAGAGACUUGAGGACACAUUCAAACCAUAGUGGAUGGUCCCAAAGAGUUAUGAACCCUGGAGGAAGUUACCUGUAACCUCAGGAAGUGGCAAGGACCUUGUCCUUUCUCUAUUGAACAAACCAAAGCAAGCAUACAAACCAAAAAUCCAGAGUUUCUGGUAGAUAAUAUUUGUGUGCUCUUAAGUGUGGGGACCACUAUGAUGUAGCUGUGGUUUAAUGUCUCCCAAGAGUCCCCAUGUGUUGGAGGCUUGGUUCCCAGAGGCACACUAUUGAGAGUGGUCCGGUGGGUAGUUGUAAGUAUGGAAUGUGAGAAUCCAGGUGCAGCUCAGGCCACCACACCUGUGGCACUUCUCUCACAGACACUGUCUAUCAAUGUCUAACUAACAGACUCUCAGGUGCCAAGACACUCAGCUAUAAAGUGCCAAAAGAGAGGCCUUGGUGAUCAUACUCCUGCUCUCCUCCCCUUCCCUGACCCUGUCUGUAAACCAGAGAGCCUGGAGGCAGCCCUAUACUGUGAAACCUCCUCCAUCUAUUUAUGUCACAUGGGCCUCUCUUCAGAGCCGUGGCCAUGCUGUCAGUCUCUGUGCUGGGGUCUGAACUCUCCUCAGAGUCCCCACCAUGCUGUUGUCUGUCUGUCUGUCUGUCAUGUCAUUAAUAACUCUUCUAAUAAACUACUCAGU